rnacentral:lncRNA from 1 species
UCAAAAGUAGGCCACAGAUGGCUAAAAAGACUGAAUACCCGAGAGAAAUUUGACUGUGAUUUUAUCGAGGUAAGCAAUGAAAGUUACGCGAAUAGCAAAGGGGAAAGCUCAAAGAAAAGGUCCUAACUAGAAAAAGGACUAACUCAAUUGUGAUUCAAGUACAAUUAAGAAAAGGGAUCAAAGAGAGAAACUACAUACUAGCAAAGAUAACAACCCUUAAUAGUGCGAUGCAAACCCAAGAGGACAUUAUGGCUGCUAUAGUCAGUCUGACCGAGUCGGCAUAAAUUGGUGUAGUAGUGAACCACUCUCUAUUUGUGAGAUUCAAGUUGAGGAGAUGGCAACAAGAAGCUUAUGAUGAACAGAUGCAACCUUCAUUAAAUCCAUAACUAUAGAGGGACUAGAUACUCAACAGAAAUUGGGACUGAACUCAGGAUGACAAAGGGAAAAUUAUAAAACCCUAUUUGAAGGCAACAAAAUAUUUGCUAUGGAUAUGGACUUAUAAUAUAUUCCCCCAGUUGUAAUCGAGGGGGAGAAGGUGGAUGAAAUAUUGCAGGACGAAGUGGAUGCUGAAAUUAGCAACUGAAAAAAUGUAGGUUACUGUACAUGGUACAGUAGCCAAACCAAAGGUACUUCUACAUAACAAAUGGUAUUUUAAUAUGAUUCCAAACAUCGAUGAAAAAGAUGAAAUAUUAGUUUUUGGGCCCCAUGCCAUUAAUA